UACGAGGGGGGCUAGCGUUGCUCGGAAUCACUGGGCGUAAAGGGUGCGUAGGCGGGUCUUUAAGUCAGGGGUGAAAUCCUGGAGCUCAACUCCAGAACUGCCUUUGAUACUGAGGAUCUUGAGUUCGGGAGAGGUGAGUGGAACUGCGAGUGUAGAGGUGAAAUUCGUAGAUAUUCGCAAGAACACCAGUGGCGAAGGCGGCUCACUGGCCCGAUACUGACGCUGAGGCACGAAAGCGUGGGGAGCAAACAGGG
rnacentral:rRNA from 1 species